GACGAACGCUGGCGGCGUGCUUAACACAUGCAAGUCGAACGGAAAGGCCCUGCUUUUGUGGGGUGCUCGAGUGGCGAACGGGUGAGUAACACGUGAGUAACCUGCCCUUGACUUUGGGAUAACUUCAGGAAACUGGGGCUAAUACCGGAUAGGAGCUCCUGCUGCAUGGUGGGGGUUGGAAAGUUUCGGCGGUUGGGGAUGGACUCGCGGCUUAUCAGCUUGUUGGUGGGGUAGUGGCUUACCAAGGCUUUGACGGGUAGCCGGCCUGUGAGGGUGACCGGCCACAUUGGGACUGAGAUACGGCCCAGACUCCUACGGGAGACAGCAGUGGGGAAUAUUGCACAAUGGGAGGAAGCCUGAUGCAGAAACGCCGCGUGCGGGAUGACGGCCUUCGGGUUGUAAAACGCUUUCGCCUGUGACGAAGCGUGAGUGACGGUAAUGGGUAAAGAAGCACCGGCUAACUACGUG
rnacentral:rRNA from 1 species